GACUUUUCAUCCUCCAGAAAUGUAAGAAAUAAAUUAUUUUUCUUUAUCAACUACCCAGAAUACUACCCAGUGGUAGUCUGUUAUAGCAACACAAAACAGACUGACACUCGCAGAAUUUCUACAAGAUCUUUUUAAUUUUGCUUCCAUUGCAAUUUCAUUUUGGCUUUUGACCCUUGCAUCUAGAAUAGGCUUGGCCUUGCUCCAGGGAACAUGCCAUCCUGGCCUGACAUACUUCACCUUCCCAACUUCUGUCUUCUUUGUCAACUACCCACUCCGAAGUAUCCCUGACUUGCCUCCCUUGUCUUUGUUUCUCCUAGUGUGUUUUGUUUUGCUUUUUGAUGCAUGGGCCAUGACAGAAAUCUACUGAGGUGAAGGGGAAUUGAGGAGAGACUCAUUGUUUUCAGCAAGAUGGGUAGUUAUUGAGGAGAAAUUAGAAAGCAUCAACUAACUGAAUGUGAUAGGAUCCACAUUCCCACCACACGAAAUGAGACAGAUUUUUAAAUAUGGCUAAGCAGUGUAAGUAUUCAGGCAAAGUCUGACAACUAAAUAUGUAGUGGGCUCUAAUUAGAUGCUUCUUCAUUUGUCUCUAGGAAAAGGACUGAAGAAAAGAGACAGUGAGACUGAUCCAAAAACUCCCAUGUAUAUACAAACACAUGAAAAAUGUCACCAAAAUGUUAAUGGCAGUUACGUUACAGUUGCAUCAGGGAUGGGCUUUCAGCGGUGAAGGAAACUCAUGUUGACUGAACACCUUCCCUGGGAUGUGUGGGCUCUUGGAUGAGAACUUUCACAUUUUUCACAAUUUUUAUGUCCACCACCACCCUGUGAGGUAGGUAUCAUUAUUCCCAUUUCACAGAUGAGGAAAGCUGAGGCUCAAAAAUUGAGUCAUUGGUCUAAGAUGUACAGGGUCUAGCAGAGUGCUCGAUAAGUAAUUGUUGAAUGGAUGGACUGCACAGAUCAUGCUCUCCAAUUGGUUGUAUACUUGUGUGAUGCUUUUCCCCAGAGGUCUUUUUACUGUUAAGAGGAUUCUUAUAUAGUUAAG
rnacentral:lncRNA from 10 species